GUGCCAGCCGCCGCGGUAAAACGUAGGGGGCGAGCGUUGUCCGGAAUUACUGGGCGUAAAGCGUGCGCAGGCGGUUUUGUAAGACAGGUGUGAAAUCCCCGAGCUCAACUUGGGAACUGCACUUGUGAUUGCAAGACUAGAGUGUGUCAGAGGGAGGUAGAAUUCCACGUGUAGCAGUGAAAUGCGUAGAUAUGUGGAGGAAUACCAGUGGCGAAGGCGGCCUCCUGGGAUAACACUGACGCUCAUGUACGAAAGCGUGGGGAGCAAACAGGAUUAGAUACCCUGGUAGUCCACGCCCUAAACGAUGUCAACUGGUUGUUGGGGAUUCAUUUCCUUAGUAACGAAGCUAACGCGUGAAGUUGACCGCCUGGGGAGUACGGUCGCAAGAUUAAAACUCAAAGGAAUUGGCGG
rnacentral:rRNA from 1 species